rnacentral:rRNA from 1 species
UACGUAGGUGGCAAGCGUUGUCCGGAAUUAUUGGGCGUAAAGCGCUCGCAGGCGGUCUUUUAAGUCUGAUGUGAAAGCCCACGGCUCAACCGUGGAGGGUCAUUGGAAACUGGAGGACUUGAGUACAGAAGAGGAGAGUGGAAUUCCACGUGUAGCGGUGAAAUGCGUAGAGAUGUGGAGGAACACCAGUGGCGAAGGCGGCAUCCUGGACCGGUAUUGACGCUGAGGAGCGAAAGCGUGGGGAGCAAACAGG